UGCAGUCGAGCGGAAGGCCCUUCGGGGUACUCGAGCGGCGAACGGGUGAGUAACACGUGGGUAAUCAACCCCUGACAUCGGGAUACCCCGGGGAAACCCGGAUCAAUACCGAAUAAGGUGCGGAGCCGCAGGGCGCCGUACCAAAGGUAGCUUCGGCCUCCGGUCAGGGACGAGCCCGCGGCCCAUUAGCUUGUUGGUGAGGUAACGGCUCACCAAGGCGACGAUGGGUAGCUGGUCUGAGAGGACGAUCAGCCACACUGGGACUGAGACACGGCCCAGACUCCUACGGGAGGCAGCAGUGGGGAAUCUUGCGCAAUGGGCGGAAGCCUGACGCAGCAACGCCGCGUGCGGGAAGAAGGUCUUAGGAUCGUAAACCGCUUUCAGGAGGGACGAAGCUUCCGGGGUUAAUAGCCUACGGGGUGACGGUACCUCCAAAAGAAGGUCCGGCUAACUACGUGCCAGCAGCCGCGGUAAUACGUAGGGACCGAGCGUUGUCCGGAAUUAUUGGGCGUAAAGCGCGUGUAGGCGGCUUGGUAGGUUUCGUGUUAAAUCCCUCGGCUCAACCGAGGAAUCGCACGGAAAACCACCUCGCUAGAGUCCGGAAGAGGGAAACGGAAUUCCAGGUGUAGCGGUGAAAUGCGCAGAUAUCUGGAAGAACACCCGUGGCGAAGGCGGUUUCCUGGGACGGUACUGACGCUGAGACGCGAAAGCGUGGGGAGCGAACAGGAUUAGAUACCCUGGUAGUCCACGCCGUAAACGAUGGGCGCUAGGUGUGGGAGUGUCGACUCUUCCCGUGCCGAAGCUACGCAUUAAGCGCCCGCUGGGGAGUACGGCCGCAAGGCU
rnacentral:rRNA from 1 species